AUUGAACGCUGGCGGCAGGCCUAACACAUGCAAGUCGAACGAGUGGCGGACGGGUGAGUAAUGUCUGGGAAACUGCCUGAUGGAGGGGGAUAACUACUGGAAACGGUAGCUAAUACCGCAUACCAUAAGAUGUGCCCAGGUGGGAUUAGCUAGUUGGUGGGGUAACGGCUCACCAAGGCGACGAUCCCUAGCUGGUCUGGGAGGAUGACCAGCAACACUGGAACGUGUAAACGGUCCAGACUCCUACGUGAGGCAGAAGUGGUGUAUAUUGCACAAUGGGCGCAAGCCUUAUGCAGCCAUGCCGCGUGUGUGAAGAAGGCCUUAGGGUUGUAAAGUACUUUCAGUAGUGAGCCGUUACCUGCAGAAGAAGCACCGGCUAACUCCGUGACAGCAGCCGCGGUAAUAC
rnacentral:rRNA from 1 species